UUACCUCAAUAUGGAGCAACUGAAAAAGUGUCUGAUAUCUCUAUAUGCUCUAUACAAAUAAAAUCGAAAUUCAAAUUCUAUUUACAAGAAUGAACCUGAGUUCUGCUAAUUUCACGUUCUUCUUCAUCUUGGCUCUAACAGCCAACCAUUGGGAGAGUCACUCUCUUUGUGGUUGGGUCGUGUACCUUCUCUCAUUUUGAAGUAAAAGGAAAUGUGUUUUGCCCGGAGACUUUUAAAGUGACCACAAAGCUAUCAUAGAUUCGACUUGCAUUUAAAUUGUUUAUAUUCAUUUUACAUUUAACUCAAUGUAGAGUGGUUUUGUUUUCCAAUUGAUUUUUUUCUCUUCUUUUAGUACCCAAUGUUAAAAAUUUUGUUUUCAUGAACUGAAAGAUCUGUCUUUUCUUGUAACAGAUUAUUUUGGAUGGGCAAUUAUAAGCGUUUCCUUUGUACUACAGCAACUGAGGCAUCUUAUUUACAGUACUACAUUAUUGAACCUUACAUCAAUGAGGUUCGAGCAUUGGCAUUGUCAUGUGUAAAUUAUUGUGGCUACAAACUUCAUCCAUAUCCAAUUGCACACUUGUCCAAACUCUUGAUGAUGAAGGAAUUAGAUGUGGAAUCAUUUUUAAUGCUUGUGGUCUUGAGACCAGCACUAAUGAACGGUGAAAUAAGUUCUUAUCAACCAAGCAAACAAACUUCCAUUAUCCCAAGGAAGUCUUUCCAAGCUACUGCCUUCUGGGUUUGGAACACUUUUAGAGGUAACAAUCAAUUGGAACUAGUUACUCUUUCAAACUUCUUAUUGUACAAAUAUAACCUGCAUGUGCAACCAUUUCUGAUCCCAUAAUUUCAAGAAUUUAUGACACCUUCUAGUGGUUAGUUUUUAUGGGAAUAAAGUAAAGCAAUCUAUUCACUCCCAGAAACCAUCGUUAGAGGAACAGUAGAUAACCCCGCAAGACCAAAUUUAUGUGUGUGCAUGGAGAUGCAUGUUUUCUGCAUCCCAAUCAUGCAGUGUUGUGUCAAAUGGAAUAAUAGCAGUUGAUGAUAAGUGGUAUUUCUAAAAUCUUCUAAGAGUAUUCCAUCUAUUGUAAUAUUGUUUUCUCAAAAUUGUCUUUGAGUCUUAUGUGUAAAUAUUAGAAUUGACCUCUUGUAAGCUAUCAACUAAUGUUGUAACUUAACUUGAAAGGGAAAUUCUAUAAAUUUAGCCUUGGUUUGGCUCUUGGAAAGCAAAGAAAAAUUAGGUUAAUAGUGAGUUGAUUUCUUCCCUUCCCAUGGAUGUAAGCACAUUCUUGAAUCAUGUUAAUUAUUUUUUGGUUUA